rnacentral:rRNA from 1 species
CAGCAGCCACGGUAAUACGAAGGGUGCAAGCGUUAAUCGGAAUUACUGGGCGUAAAGCGUGCGUAGGCGGUGAGUUAAGUCUGCUGUGAAAUCCCCGGGCUCAACCUGGGAAUGGCAGUGGAUACUGGCUCGCUAGAGUGUGUCAGAGGAUGGUGGAAUUCCCGGUGUAGCGGUGAAAUGCGUAGAGAUCGGGAGGAACAUCAGUGGCGAAGGCGGCCAUCUGGGACAACACUGACGCUGAGGCACGAAAGCGUGGGGAGCAAACAGGAUUAGAUACCCCAGUAGUCCCUGUCUCUUAUAA